GCCAAAUUAGCCCCUACCCAACUCCAAACCAGGUCAAUCCAACCCAACCAAAUACACAAACCAAUUUCCUAACCUAAAAACCUACACACACGAUACAGAUACACGAAGGAAGCUUAGCUUCUUAUGAAGAAUACACACAAUGAAUAGACGCCUGGAAAUGGGGGAAGGGCUGCGGAGCUCUUGAGCACACACGAUACAAUUGAGAAAAAAAAACACAAUAUACAUAUAUAGACACAAUACAGAAGGAGAACAAAGGGGACGCCUGGAAAAAAAUUGGAACUCUGCGAGAGGAGACGCAAAAAAGACGAUCUCCAGCAUUCUCUGCAACUUCAACCCAAACGACCCUCGCCGGAAAACCAAUCCCCUAGUAUCUCCCACACCCCUAACGCAUAACCUGAUCUAAACACACAAGCACGAAAGCAGAAAAGGGAGAGAAAUCAAAUAGAAGUUUUGGGCGAGAACUAGGGACGGAAAAUCUUACUUCUUCUUUGUUCCGAUUUGGGUCUAAAAUUCAAAAAACAAAGAAAAUGAAUUCAGUUUCUGUUUCGAUUUUCCUUCAUGGAACCCGUUUGAGUUUGUUGGUUUGAGUUUGUUUUUUCGAGUCCGAUUAAGGUAUAAUUCUUCAAAGUCAGUUCAUCUGAGGUGUUAGUCGAGGUUGAAUUUGGCCAGAAUUAAUUCAUUGGCAAUUAUUUGUGUGUGUCUCAUCGACUGUUGCUCCGAUGUCGCCAUUACUGUGAUAUUGGCCUCAUUUAAUUCGGGGGUGCCGAGUCGAGCUCCCAGUUGUUGCUCGAGGCAUGGAUGCUGAUGGAGUUCGAUCGAGGUUGAUUCCACUUUGUGCCUCACUGCUGGUUUGGGUCCGCCUGUUGUUUUUCAUCUUUAUUUCCCAUUUUCGAAUUUAUUUGUAUUUUAUUUCAAGAAAAAUUAAUCAGAAUUUUCGCGUGAUAAGGUCCGUUCUAUCUUCUCUUUACUAUUCUGUUAGCUCGAUGUCGUGUAUUAGUUGACUUUGGUAGUACUAUUAUUGCUUGUGUACUGAUUCUUUUUGUGAAUUGUUUU
rnacentral:lncRNA from 1 species